AAGGGCUUGCUCUUGAGCUAGUGGCGGACGGGUGAGUAACGCGUGGGAACCUGCCUGGCAGUGGGGAAUAACCGCGGGAAACUGCGGCUAAUACCGCAUACGCCCGAGCAAUCGGGGAAAGAUUUAUCGCUGUCGGAGGGGCCCGCGUCGGAUUAGCUAGUUGGCGGGGUAACGGCCCACCAAGGCUACGAUCCGUAGCUGGUCUGAGAGGAUGAUCAGCCACACUGGGACUUAGACACGGCCCAGACUCCUACGGGAGGCAGCAGUAGGGAAUAUUGGACAAUGGGCGAAAGCCUGAUCCAGCAAUGCCGCGUGAGUGAAGAAGGCCUUCGGG
rnacentral:rRNA from 1 species